UACGUAGGGGGCAAGCGUUGUCCGGAAUUAUUGGGCGUAAAGAGCGUGUAGGCGGCCAGAUAAGUCCGCUGUGAAAUCUCGAGGCUCAACUUCGAGCUGUCGGUGGAAACUAUCUGGCUAGAGUCCGGAAGAGGAGAAUGGAAUUCCUGGUGUAGCGGUGAAAUGCGCAGAUAUCAGGAGGAACACCGGUGGCGAAGGCGGUUCUCUGGGCCUGUACUGACGCUGAGGAGCGAAAGCGUGGGGAGCGAACAGG
rnacentral:rRNA from 1 species